GAUGAACGCUGGCGGCGUGCCUAAUACAUGCAAGUCGAGCGAACAGAUGAGGAGCUUGCUCCUCUGACGUUAGCGGCGGACGGGUGAGUAACACGUGGAUAACCUACCUAUAAGACUGGGAUAACUUCGGGAAACCGGAGCUAAUACCGGAUAAUAUAUUGAACCGCAGGGUUCAAUAGUGAAAGACGGUUUUGCUGUCUCUUAUAGAUGGAUCCGCGCCGCAUUAGCUAGUUGGUAAGGUAACGGCUUACCAAGGCAACGAUGCGUAGCCGACCGGAGAGGGUGAUCGGCCACACUGGAACUGAGACACGGUCCAGACUCCUACGGGAGGCAGCAGUAGGGAAUCUUCCGCAAUGGGCGAAGGCCUGACGGAGCAACGCCGCGUGAGUGAUGAAGGUCUUCGGAUCGUAAAACUCUGUUAUUAGGGAAGAACAAAUGUGUAAGUAACUAUGCACGUCUUGACGGUACCUAAUCAGAAAGCCACGGCUAACUACGUG
rnacentral:rRNA from 1 species